CCCUGAUCCUGGAUUGUUCCGAGUCAGGCCAAAGGCAGCCCGGGGGAGGCUCUGAAGUGUGGGGCCCUUCUAAGCACAAGACCCUGUGUGACUGAACAGGUCACACACCCAUGAAACUGCAGAAUCCAUGAGGUACUCUCCAAGGCAGCAACCACCAACUGUGACCUCUUGAGCUUCCAGGCUGCUUCCUAGGAAAGUCCGUUCCUUGACUACAUCGUCAGAGAGCCAGCGAGUUGAUUUCAUCGGCACCAUGCAGCCUGUGGGUACUUCUUGCCCACCCAGACGAGGUGGCAGGACAAUGACCAGUACGGCCAUGUGAACAACGCUACAAUGCUACAGCUACUUCGACAGGGUUAUCAGCCACUACCUGAUCAG